AGGUAAGCUACUAAGAGCGAAUGGUGGAUGCCUUGACUGGUAAAGGCGAUGAAGGACGUACUAGACUGCGAUAAGCUACGGGGAGCUGUCAAGAAGCUUUGAUCCGUAGAUUUCCGAAUGGGGCAACCCAAUGUAUAGAGAUAUACAUUACCUAUAUAGGAGCGAACGAGGGGAAUUGAAACAUCUUAGUACCCUCAGGAAAAGAAAUCAAUAGAGAUUGCGUCAGUAGCGGCGAGCGAAAGCGCAAGAGGGCAAACCCAGUGCUUGCACUGGGGGUUGUAGGACUGCAAUAUGCAAGAGGUAAGUUUAGCAGAACAUUCUGGAAAGUAUAACCAUAGAGGGUGAUAGUCCCGUAUGCGAAAAACAAACCUUAGCUAGCAGUAUCCUGAGUAGGGCGGGACACGAGGAAUCCUGUCUGAAUCCGGGUCGACCACGAUCCAACCCUAAAUACUAAUACCAGAUCGAUAGUGCACAAGUACCGUGAGGGAAAGGUGAAAAGAACUGAGGUGAUCAGAGUGAAAUAGAACCUGAAACCAUUUGCUUACAAUCAUUCAGAGCCCUAUGUAGCAAUACAGGGUGAUGGACUGCCUUUUGCAUAAUGAGCCUGCGAGUUGUGGUGUCUGGCAAGGUUAAGCAAACGCGAAGCCGUAGCGAAAGCGAGUCUGAAUAGGGCGCUUAGUCAGAUGCUGCAGACCCGAAACGAAGUGAUCUAUCCAUGAGCAAGUUGAAGCUAGUGUAAGAACUAGUGGAGGACUGAACCCAUAGGCGUUGAAAAGCCCCGGGAUGACUUGUGGAUAGGGGUGAAAGGCCAAUCAAACUUCGUGAUAGCUGGUUCUCUCCGAAAUAUAUUUAGGUAUAGCGUUGUGUCGUAAUAUAAGGGGGUAGAGCACUGAAUGGGCUAGGGCAUACACCAAUGUACCAAACCCUAUCAAACUCCGAAUACCUUAUAUGUAAUCACAGCAGUCAGGCGGCGAGUGAUAAAAUCCGUCGUCAAGAGGGAAACAACCCAGACUACCAGCUAAGGUCCCUAAAUCUUACUUAAGUGGAAAACGAUGUGAAGUUACUUAAACAACCAGGAGGUUGGCUUAGAAGCAGCCAUCCUUUAAAGAAAGCGUAAUAGCUCACUGGUCUAGUGAUUUUGCGCGGAAAAUAUAACGGGGCUAAAGUAAGUACCGAAGCUGUAGACUUAGUUUACUAAGUGGUAGGAGAGCGUUCUAUUUGCGUCGAAGGUAUACCGGUAAGGAGUGCUGGAGCGAAUAGAAGUGAGCAUGCAGGCAUGAGUAGCGAUAAUUAAUGUGAGAAUCAUUAACGCCGUAAACCCAAGGUUUCCUACGCGAUGCUCGUCAUCGUAGGGUUAGUCGGGUCCUAAGUCGAGUCCGAAAGGGGUAGACGAUGGCAAAUUGGUUAAUAUUCCAAUACCAACAUUAGUGUGCGAUGGAAGGACGCUUAGGGCUAAGGGGGCUAGCGGAUGGAAGUGCUAGUCUAAGGUCGUAGGAGGUUAUACAGGCAAAUCCGUAUAACAAUACUCCGAGAACUGAAAGGCUUUUUGAAGUCUUCGGAUGGAUAGAAGAACCCCUGAUGCCGUCGAGCCAAGAAAAGUUUCUAAGUUUAGCUAAUGUUGCCCGUACCGUAAACCGACACAGGUGGGUGGGAUGAGUAUUCUAAGGCGCGUGGAAGAACUCUCUUUAAGGAACUCUGCAAAAUAGCACCGUAUCUUCGGUAUAAGGUGUGGUUAGCUUUGUAUUAGGAUUUACUCCGAAAGCAAGGAAACUUACAACAAAGAGUCCCUCCCGACUGUUUACCAAAAACACAGCACUCUGCUAACUCGUAAGAGGAUGUAUAGGGUGUGACGCCUGCCCGGUGCUCGAAGGUUAAUUGAUGGGGUUAGCAUUAGCGAAGCUCUUGAUCGAAGCCCGAGUAAACGGCGGCCGUAACUAUAACGGUCCUAAGGUAGCGAAAUUCCUUGUCGGUUAAAUACCGACCUGCAUGAAUGGCGUAACGAGAUGGGAGCUGUCUCAAAGAGGGAUCCAGUGAAAUUGUAGUGGAGGUGAAAAUUCCUCCUACCCGCGGCAAGACGGAAAGACCCCGUGGACCUUUACUACAGCUUGACACUGCUACUUGGAUAAGAAUGUGCAGGAUAGGUGGGAGGCUUUGAGUAUAUGACGCCAGUUGUAUAUGAGCCAUUG
rnacentral:rRNA from 1 species